GGUCAGCAGACACAUUCCAGCCAAUCAGCAGCAGACCCUCCCUCCCAGACCCUCUCACCUUCUGGACAGGAUCCAUGGUGAAGUUGCAUUCUUAGUGAGCUGUCCAGGAGGUGGGAGGGUCUGGGAGGGAGGGUCUGCUGCUGAUUGGCUGGAAUGUGUCUGCUG